rnacentral:rRNA from 1 species
CACGCAGGCGGGCCGUUAAGUAGGGCGUGAAAUCUCCCGGCCUAACUGGGAGGGGUCGCUCUAAACUGGCGGUCUUGAGAAUGGCAGAGGUAGGUGGAAUUCCUGGUGUAGUGGUGAAAUGCGUAGAGAUCAGGAGGAACACCGGUGGCGAAGGCGGCCUACUGGGCCAUCACUGACGCUGAGGUGCGAAAGCUCGGGGAGCGAACGGGAUUAGAUACCCCGGUAGUCCGAGCCGUAAACGAUGGGUACUAGGUGUUCGUGGUAUCGACCCCACGGGUGCCGGAGCUAACGCGAUAAGUACCCCGCCUGGGGAGUACGGCCGCAAGGUUAAA